CCUACGGGAGGCAGCAGUGAGGAAUAUUGGUCAAUGGACGCAAGUCUGAACCAGCCAUGCCGCGUGCAGGAAGACGGCUCUAUGAGUUGUAAACUGCUUUUGUACGAGGGUAAACGCAGAUACGCGUAUCUGUCUGAAAGUAUCGUACGAAUAAGGAGCGGCUAACUCCGUGCCAGCAGCCGCGGUAAUACGGAGGAUUCAAGCGUUAUCCGGAUUUAUUGGGUUUAAAGGGUGCGUAGGCGGUCGGAUAAGUUAGAGGUGAAAUCCCGAGGCUCAACUUCGGAAUUGCCUCUGAUACUGUUCGUCUAGAGAGUAGUUGCGGUAGGCGGAAUGUAUGGUGUAGCGGUGAAAUGCUUAGAGAUCAUACAGAACACCGAUUGCGAAGGCAGCUUACCAAGCUACUUCUGACGUUGAGGCACGAAAGCGUGGGGAGCAAACAGGAUUAGAUACCCCAGUAGUC
rnacentral:rRNA from 1 species